rnacentral:rRNA from 1 species
GAUGAACGCUGGCGGCGUGCCUAAUACAUGCAAGUCGAGCGAACGGACGAGAAGCUUGCUUCUCUGAUGUUAGCGGCGGACGGGUGAGUAACACGUGGAUAACCUACCUAUAAUACUGGGAUAACUUCGGGAAACCGUAGCUAAUACCGGAUAAUAUUUUGAACCGCAUAGUUCAAAAGUGAAAGACGGUCUUGCUGUCACUUAUAGAUGGAUCCGCGCUGCAUUAGCUAGUUGGUAAGGUAACGGCUUACCAAGGCAACGAUGCAUAGCCGACCUGAGAGGGUGAUCGGCCACACUGGAACUGAGACACGGUCCAGACUCCUACGGGAGGCAGCAGUAGGGAAUCUUCCGCAAUGGGCGCAAGCCUGACGGAGCAACGCCGCGUGAGUGAUGAAGGUCUUCGGAUCGUAAAACUCUGUUAUUAGGGAAGAACAUAUGUGUAAGUAACUGUGCACAUCUUGACGGUACCUAAUCAGAAAGCAACGGCUAACUACGUG